UGGAGGAAUAUUGGUCAAUGGGCGAGAGCCUGAACCAGCCAAGUAGCGUGAAGGAUGACUGCCCUAUGGGUUGUAAACUUCUUUUAUAAAGGAAUAAAGUCGGGUAUGGAUACCCGUUUGCAUGUACUUUAUGAAUAAGGAUCGGCUAACUCCGUGCC
rnacentral:rRNA from 1 species